GGCUUGUUGGUCAAGAGGUAAAGACAUCACCCUCUCACGGUGAAAUCAGGGGUUCGAUCCCCCUACAGGUCACCA
rnacentral:tRNA from 2 species